GGAUUACGAACUGAUUCGGAAAAAUUCGGACAAGAUCGGACGAGAUCGCAAUAUCUCGUAACUCGAAAUAAUCGAUCGAUUCUUUUCAUUUGUAUUUUCGAUUAUCGAUUCAACUUGAAGUAAGACACAUUCGUUCUAACGUACAAAAUGGCGUCUUUUCUAAAUCUGAUAUAAGAAUUAACAAUUUCGAUAGAAAUUUUUCUAAAGUCCGAGCUUUCAAAUCGCAGAACGAUUCGUACUGUGAAAUUAGCAGUUUAACGAACCGAAACCACGUUUCCUUGUUAUCUAAUUCUGCCUCUCGUCAACAUCUGCACGAACAGUAGCACGUUUCUACGCGAAAGUUGGAUACCUAAACCACAAAUUGCUCGCACGCUGGACAGAAUAGAAUCACGAUAAACGACGGGAGAAGAGAAUUCAAGAGGCAACCGCGAUGAAAUCUUGGUGGAUCCAAGUUGUGGACAACAGGCUCAUUAGUAGUAUCGAUAUGCAGAAUACUGAAAGUUGUAAAAACGCAACGAUAUGCGUAUACAAAAGUACGACGCAAUAUCUGAUCGUGGUCAUAGAUCCAUACGUUAUAGGCGUGAAGAAUAAAUAGAAAUGGUAAGAUAGAUAGAUUAGAUUUUCGUUUUUGAUUUAUGAUUACAUGAAUUAUAUAGUUCUAGAAUGAAUAAAUUAAAGGCAGGAAGACGAAUCUCUUCUUUUUGAAAUUAGAAUGGUGAAAUAUUUUAAAUUCUUAUUCUCAUUUAAAAUUCUUUCAUGGAUAAAAUAUAUUUAAUUUCAAAGCUUUUUAUGUCAAUUAUUUAAUUUUAAACUAACUGAAUUUUUUACGAAAAUAAAUUAUUUUACUUUUAAAUUCUAAA